rnacentral:tRNA from 1 species
GCCUGUAGUCUAGUGGUUAAGAUACAUGACUGGGACCCUUGAGGUUGGCGGUUCAAGUCCAGUCCCCAGUCC